rnacentral:rRNA from 1 species
CGAAAUUCCCCCCUUCUUCGGUUAUUUAGAGGAAGUAAAAGUCGUAACAGGUUUCCGUAGGUGAACCUGCGGAAGGAUCAUUAAAGAAUGCCCCGUUUUUGAAAUGGGUUCUAUUCCCAAACCGUGUAUACAUACCUUUGUUGCUUUGCAGGCCGCCUUCGGGCGUCGGCUCACGCUGACCGCGCUUGCCAGAGGACCAAACUCGUUUGUUUAGUGAUGUCUGAGUACUAUAUAAUAGUUAAAACUUCAACAACGGAUCUCUUGGUUCUGGCAUCGAUGAAGAACGCAGCGAAAGCGAUAAGUAAUGUGAAUUGCAGAAUUCAGUGAAUCAUCGAAUCUUUGACGCACAUUGCGCCCCUUGGUAUUCCGAGGGGCAUGCCUGUUCGAGCGUCUUAUGACCACUCAAGCCUAGCUUGGUAUUGGGGUUCGCAAUCUCGCGGCUUUAAAAUCAGUGGCGGUGCCAUCUGGCUCUAAGCGUAGUAAUUUAUCUGCUAUUGGGUCCGGUGGUUGCUUGCCAACAACCCCCAACUUCUAAGGUUACCUCGGAUCAGGUAGGGAUACCCGCUGAACUUAAGCAUAUCAAUAAGCGAGGA